rnacentral:rRNA from 1 species
GACUACCCGCUGAACUUAAGCAUAUCAAUAAGCGGAGGAAAAGAAACUAACAAGGAUUCCCCUAGUAACGGCGAGUGAAGUGGGAAAAGCUCAACUUUGAAAUCUGGCACCUUCGGUGUCCGAAUUGUAGUCUCAAGAAGUGUUUUCUGUGCUAGUCCAUGUAUGAGUCUGUUGGAACACAGCGUCAUAGAGGGUGACAACCCCGUUCAUGACAUGGAUACUAGUGCUCUGUGAUACACUCUCGAAGAGUCGAGUUGUUUGGGAAUGCAGCUCAAAUUGGGUGGUAAAUUCCAUCUAAAGCUAAAUAUUGGCGAGAGACCGAUAGCAAACAAGUACCGUGAGGGAAAGAUGAAAAGCACUUUGGAAAGAGAGUUAACAGUACGUGAAAUUGUUGAAAGGGAAACGAUUGAAGUCAGACGUGCGUGAUGCGGUUCAGCUCUGGUUCGCCAGGGUGUAUUCCGUAUCUUUGCAGGCCAACAUCGGUUUUGUUAGUCGGAUAAAGAUUAGUUGAAUGUGGCAUCUUCGGGUGUGUUAUAGCUUCUAAUUGAAUACGAUUGAUGAGACCGAGGAACGCAGCGC